UACGUAGGGUGCGAGCGUUGUCCGGAAUUAUUGGGCGUAAAGAGCUUGUAGGCGGUUUGUCGCGUCUGCUGUGAAAAUCCGGGGCUCAACCCCGGACUUGCAGUGGGUACGGGCAGACUAGAGUGUGGUAGGGGAGACUGGAAUUCCUGGUGUAGCGGUGAAAUGCGCAGAUAUCAGGAAGAACACCCGUGGCGGAGGCGCUCUCUGGAACGCAACUGACGCUGAGACGCGAAAGCGUGGGGAGCAAACAGG
rnacentral:rRNA from 1 species